rnacentral:misc_RNA from 1 species
GUGAAUCAUCAAAUCUUUGAACGCAAAUUGCACUCUCCUCGGAGAGUAUGCCUGUAUGAGUGUCAGCCUAUAAAUAAUCGACAACGUUGCUGUUUCGCGGUGUCGUUUGUCGGAAAUUGGGUCAUCUUUAAACCUUUUGGUUUUAAGCGUCUUAAUAAUUUCUUUUUGGUUCCAUGCACGUUUCAAAGAUUUAUUUCUUUAAACGUUUAAGGUAUCGAUUUUUAUUAGAAGUGACCACCAAAUCGGAUCGUGUCCUUAAUCUUUCAUUAA